rnacentral:ribozyme from 1 species
GCUUGCUUGCUUCUUGCUUUGUCGUUGGAGGCUGCCUUCUCGAUCGGUG